CCUUUCCUUGCCCUUCCGCCUAUAUACCGCCGUCGUCAGCCCACCCUGUGAAGGAAAAAUAGUAAGCUCAAUUGACAUUGCCCAAAACGUCAGGUCGAGGUGUAGCAUAUGGAAAGAGAAAGAGAUGGGCUACAUUCUCUCUACCCAGAGAACACGGACGAUCACAAUGAAACACGUAUCUGAAGGAGGAUUUAGCAGUAAGCAGAAAGCAGAGUGUUCAGCUGAAACUGGCCCUGAAGCGCGCACACACCGCCCGUCACUCUCCCCAAGCGACUCAACACAACAAACAUAUACAACCUCCUUUAGCAAAGGGGAGAUAAGUCGUAACAUGGUAAGUGUACCGGAAGGUGCACUUGGAAUAU
rnacentral:rRNA from 1 species